rnacentral:rRNA from 1 species
UACGGAGGGUGCGAGCGUUGUCCGGAAUCACUGGGCGUAAAGGGCGCGUAGGUGGCCCGUGGAAGUCUGCGGUGAAAGCCCGGUGCUCAACGCCGGGUCGGCCGUGGAUACUCUCGGGCUUGAGCUUACUAGAGGCAGAUGGAAUUCCGGGUGUAGCGGUGGAAUGCGUAGAGAUCCGGAAGAACACCGGUGGCGAAGGCGGUCUGCUGGGGUAAUGCUGACACUGAUGCGCGACAGCGUGGGGAGCAAACAGG